UUAUAUAUAUUCUUUUUCAGACAUAUUAUUUGAUAGACAUUUUCAAUUGACAACCAUAUGUAUUAAUUAUUUAUGUUUAUGUUAAUAAUUUCAGGACUUCUAUAACACAACUUCUUCAAUCUCAGGUCUUCAGUUCUGUUCCAACUCUCCACUGGCUAUGGAAUUUCAGUUUUUAAGUUUUUAAGUUUUUUAAGUUUAUUUUUAAACAUUCUAUAUUAUUGCUGUGGUUUCUAAACUACUGCAUAUCUGCAUACGCCAUUUUGUUACCUUCACACACAAAAGGUAACCUGGCAGCCUCUGAAGUCCCUGGGCCAUGAAAUAUUCCCUUAAGACUUUAUAAGUCUCAGGGCACCUGGGUGGCUCAGUUGGUUGAGCAUCGGACUUCAGCUCAGGUCAUGAUCUUGCACUCCAUGAGUUCGAGCCCUGUGUAAGUCUCUGUGAUGACAGCUUGGAGCCUGAAACCUGCUUUGGAUUCUAUGUCUCCCUCUCUCUCUCUCUGCCCUUCCCCUGCUCACAUUCUGUCUCUCUCUCUCUCUCUCAAAAACAAAUAGAUGUUGAAAAAAAUGAAAAAAAUUUUACAAGUCUUCUCCAAGUGUUCUUAUGUUUGCUUUCACGAAGGUGUCAGAAGUCACUGGAGGUAUUGAAAACACCAGAUUUCUUUUCAGAUUUGAUGAUGAGAAGCAGAUAUGGCAAAUGAAUUACUCUUGUCCGUGCAUCUGAAAGCUUCGGUGAUGGAUUUGAAUUUUGAAAAGAUCGCUCUGGCUACAAUGUGAAGAAAGGACAUAAAGCAAAACAAUGACAAAAGAAAACAUGGCAAGUAAUGUAAAUGGAAACGUAGAACGGGGAAAUCAGGGCCUUUCAG